rnacentral:lncRNA from 10 species
AAUCAAAACCAUACCUCACACCCUCUAGGACGGCUAUUAUGAAAAACCAGAAAAUAAUACAUGUUGAGAGGAUGUGGAGAAAUUGGAACCCUAGGUGCUUUGCUGCCGAGAAUGUGAAAUGGUGCAGUCACAGCAGUAUAGAAGACAGUGCCUUUCUCCUGACUGGAAUUGUGAAUCUUUUUCUUUUUUCAUUUGUGGUAAAAUACACAUAACCUAAAAUUUGCAUCCUAGGCCAGGAGUGGUGGCUCACGCCUGUAAUCCCAGCACUUUGGGAGGCCGAGACGGGUGGAUCACCUGAGGUCAGGAGUUCUAGACCAGCCUGGCCAACAUGGUGAAACCCCGUCUCUACUAAAAAUACCAAAAUUAGCUGGGCAUGCUAGCGGGUGCCUGUAAUCCCAACUACUUGGGAGGCUGAGGCAUGAGAAUUGCUUGAACCUGGGAGGUGGAGGUUGUGGUGAGCCGAGAUUGCGCCACUGCACUCCAGCCUGGCCGACAGACAGUGAAACUCCAUCUAAAAAAAAAAAAAAAAAAAAAAAUUUACAUUCUAACCGUUUCCAAGUGUACAUUCAGUGGCUUUAUGUACAUUCACAUUGAUGCGCAACCAUCACCACCAUCCAUCUCCAGAAUGCUUUUCACCUUCCCAAGCAGAUGAAACACUAACUCUCCUUUCCUCCCAUCCCCUGACAAUCAUUCUACUUCCCAUCUCUAACUCUCUUUUCCCCCAUCCCCUGACAAUCAUUCUACUUCUCCUCUCUAACUCUCCUUUCCCCCA